rnacentral:lncRNA from 1 species
GUAUUUAUCUUCUGGGCCUCUGAAUCUGCACCCCUUAAGAGCAAAAUGAUCUAUUCCAGGUCCAAGGACGCCAUCAAGAAGAAGCUGACAGGGAUCGAGCAUGAAUUACAUGCAAACUGCUAUGAGGAGGUCAAGAACUGCUGCACCCCGGCUGAAAAACUGGGGGGCAAUGCUGUCAUCUCUCUGGAGGGCAAGCCUUUGUAAGCCCCCUCCAGCCACCUGCCUGGAACAUCUGGCAGCCCCAGACCUGCCCUAGGGGGUUGCAGGCUGCCCCCUUCCUGCCAGACUGGAGGGGCUGGGGGAUCCCAGCAGAGGGAGGGCAUUCCCUUCACCCCAGUUGCCAAACAGCCCACCCACUGAACCUUCCUCCUCCCUCCAUCCCUGACAGUUCUGGCCUUCCCAAACUGCUUUUGAUCUUCUAUUCCUCUUGGGUUGAAACAGACCAAGUCUUCCCCCAGGCACCCAGUUUGGGAGGAGCUGUAUUUUUUUUUAACGAUACCCCUAUUUCCCACCUGUUUUUCCCCCAUCCCAUGAUGCCAAGUUCUAAGUAGUGACUCUGUGCCUGUCUGUUUAGUUCUGUGUAUAAAUGGAAUAUUGUGGAGAUGAUCCCUCCCUGUGCCAGGUGGUUCCCCUCCCUUUUCUCUUGGUCUUGACCAUUCAUGGAAGCAGGACAGUAAGGAACCUUCAAUUAAAGAAUUUAAAAAAAAAAAAGAAAAUGCAGAGAGUUAGAGAUUCG